rnacentral:rRNA from 1 species
AUACGUAGGUGACAAGCGUUAUCCGGAUUUACUGGGCGUAAAGGGCGUGUAGGCGGGCUUGCAAGUCAGAAGUGAAAUUCCUGAGCUCAACUCGGGCGCUGCUUCUGAAACUGCAGGACUUGAGUGCUGGAGGGGAAAGCGGAAUUCCUAGUGGAGCGGUAAAAUGCGCAGAUAUUAGGAAGAACACCGGUGGCGAAGGCGGCUAUCUGGACAGUAACUGACGCUGAGGCGCGAAAGCGUGGGGAGCAAACAGGAUUAGAUACCCUGGUAGUCCACGCCGUAAACGAUGGAUACUAGGUGUAGGGGGUAUCGACUCCCUCUGUGCCGCAGUUAACACAAUAAGUAUUCCGCCUGGGGAGUACGGCCGCAAGGUUGAAACUCAAAUGAAUUGGCGGGG